rnacentral:rRNA from 1 species
AAUGGGCGAAAGCCUGACGGAGCAACGCCGCGUGAGGGAUGAAGGCCUCUGGGCUGUAAACCUCUUUUAUCAAGGAAGAAGAUCUGACGGUACUUGAUGAAUAAGCCACGGCUAAUUCCGUGCCAGCAGCCGCGGUAAUACGGGAGUGGCAAGCGUUAUCCGGAAUUAUUGGGCGUAAAGCGUCCGCAGGCGGCCCUUCAAGUCUGCUGUUAAAAAGUGGAGCUUAACUCCAUCAUGGCAGUGGAAACUGUUGGGCUUGAGUGUGGUAGGGGCAGAGGGAAUUCCCGGUGUAGCGGUGGAAUGCGUAGAUAUCGGGAAGAACACCAGUGGCGAAGGCGCUCUGCUGGGCCAUCACUGACGCUCAUGGACGAAAGCCAGGGGAGCGAAAGGGAUU